rnacentral:rRNA from 1 species
ACACAGGGAGGUAGUGACAAGAAAUAACAAUACGGGGCUUAAUGUCUUGUAAUUGGAAUGAUGGGAAUUUAAACCUCUUCCAGAGUAUCAAUUGGAGGGCAAGUCUGGUGCCAGCAGCCGCGGUAAUUCCAGCUCCAAUAGCGUAUAUUAAAAUUGUUGCAGUUAAAAAGCUCGUAGUUGAAUUUCUGCUGCAUUACAUAUCUCUUGUUUGAGUUUGUUUUUGUGGCUUAUUUCGGUUUGAUUUUUUCUUUCCGGAUGAUUACUUUGAGAAAAUUAGAGUGCUCAAAGCAGGCUUUUGCCUUGAAUAGUUUAGCAUGGAAUAAUAAAGUAGGACUUUGGUUCUAUUUUGUUGGUUUUAGGUACCAAAGUAAUGGUUAAUAGGAACAGUUGGGGGCAUUCGUAUU